CCUGGGGUUGCAACCCCAGGCUAUUCUCUGUCGUCCCUAAAGGGACU
rnacentral:sRNA from 1 species